AACACUGUUAACCUGCGGUACCUGCGGAGGGAUCAUUAUAGUAUAUGGAAUCUCCAUUCUAUAAACCCACUCUGCGUAUCUUGUAACUGUUGCUUCCAUGGGACUUGGUUCCGCCACACCGGCUUCACGGCUGGUGAGCGCCCAUGGAAGGAGGAACAAAACUCUUCUUUGAAAUGUAGUCAGUCUGAACAAGUUUUUAUAAACGUUAAAACUUUCAACAAUGGAUCUCAGAUCGGAAGA
rnacentral:misc_RNA from 1 species